rnacentral:RNase_P_RNA from 10 species
GGGAGCAGGAGGACUGCUGACAGGGUUCGACCCUGAGGAAAGUCCCCUCUCCAUAGUGCAGGUGUCCGAAAGAAUUCGGUGGACAGAAAUGGCCAGGUCAAUGAAGAAGAAACGAACAAAAUCAGGUGUGUACAAUGAAUCGGAAACGACGAGAUUGCUUGAAUUUUGAUGGAACGAUCAACCACACUGGAGCAAGUCCAAAUCGUCUCACUGAUGCUGCACGUUAGAGACAGGUAGGAUGCUAAGUUGAAUGCAGUCACCGAAAGGGAACAGAAAGGGGCUUACUCCCUGCUCCC